rnacentral:rRNA from 1 species
GAUGAACGCUGGCGGCGUGCCUAAUACAUGCAAGUCGAGCGAACAGACGAGGAGCUUGCUCCUCUGACGUUAGCGGCGGACGGGUGAGUAACACGUGGAUAACCUACCUAUAAGACUGGGAUAACUUCGGGAAACCGGAGCUAAUACCGGAUAAUAUAUUGAACCGCAUGGUUCAAUAGUGAAAGACGGUUUUGCUGUCACUUAUAGAUGGAUCCGCGCCGCAUUAGCUAGUUGGUAAGGUAACGGCUUACCAAGGCAACGAUGCGUAGCCGACCUGAGAGGGUGAUAGGCCACACUGGAACUGAGACACGGUCCAGACUCCUACGGGAGGCAGCAGUAGGGAAUCUGACGCAAUGGGCGAAAGCCUGACGGAGCAACGCCGCGUGAGUGAUGAAGGUCUUCGGAUCGUAAAACUCUGUUAUUAGGGAAGAACAAAUGUGUAAGUAACUAUGCACGUCUUGACGGUACCUAAUCAGAAAGCCACGGCUAACUACGUG